UACGUAGGGUGCGAGCGUUAAUCGGAAUUACUGGGCGUAAAGCGUGCGCAGGCGGUGAGUUAAGUCUGCUGUGAAAGCCCCGGGCUCAACCUGGGAAUUGCAUUCGAGACUGCAUUGCUGGAGUACGGAAGAGGAGGGCGGAAUUCCCGGUGUAGCGGUGAAAUGCGUAGAUAUCGGGAGGAACAUCAGUGGCGAAGGCGGCCCUCUGGUCCAGUACUGACACUCAAGUGCGAAAGCGUGGGGAGCAAACAGG
rnacentral:rRNA from 1 species